CUACGGGGCGCUGCAGUGAGGAAUAUUGCACAAUGGGGGGAACCCUGAUGCAGCAACGCCGCGUGGAGGAUGACGCAUUUCGGUGUGUAAACUCCUUUUAUAUGUCAAGAAAAUGACGGUAGCAUAUGAAUAAGCACCGGCUAACUCCGUGCCAGCAGCCGCGGUAAUACGGAGGGUGCAAGCGUUACUCGGAAUCACUGGGCGUAAGGGACGCGUAGGCGGGUUGGAAAGUCAGGUGUGAAAUCCUACAGCUUAACUGUAGAACUGCACUUGAAACUUCUAAUCUAGAGUAUGGGAGGGGGAGAUGGAAUUAGUGGUGUAGGGGUAAAAUCAGUAGAUAUCACUAGGAAUACCUAAAGCGAAGGCGAUCUCCUGGAACAUUACUGACGCUAAGGCGUGAAAGCGUGGGGAGCAAACAGGAUUAGAUACCCCGGUAGUC
rnacentral:rRNA from 1 species